CUCUGUGUAGAGUUGUGUCUCCUCCCUCAUCUCUUCUUGAACUGUGAAAUGCAGGAAGUGUCUGAUUUAGAGACGCAUCUCUGUUAAAACAGUCUGUUAAUGUGUCAGUAUGGGCUCCAGUGCACUGCCUCUCAUGAUCUUGCUGAUGUCCUUCAUCCACGCUGGACUCACUCAAGAUUCCCCCAGAUCUGCACUGACUGUGACUCCAGACGAAACAGUAUUCACUGGAGAGACAGUCAAUCUGA